rnacentral:rRNA from 1 species
CCUACGGGUGGCAGCAGUGAGGAAUAUUGGUCAAUGGACGAAAGUCUGAACCAGCGAAGUAGCGUGAGGGAUGACUGCCCUAUGGGUUGUAAACUUCUUUUAUAUGGGAAUAAAAUGAUCCACGUGUGGUAGUUUGCAAGUACCACAUGAAUACGGACCGGCUAACUCCGUGCCAGCAGCCGCGGUAAUACGGAGGAUCCGGGCGUUAUCCGGAUUUAUUGGGUUUAAAGGGAGCGUAGGUGGGUUGUUAAGUCGGAUGUGAAAGUUUGCGGCUCAACCGUGAGAGUGCAGUUGAAACUGGGAGGCUUGAGUACAGGAGAGGUAGGCGGAAUUCGUGGUGUAGCGGUGAAAUGCUUAGAUAUCACGAAGAACACUGAUGGCGAAGGCAGGUUACUGGACAGUAACUGACGCUGAGGCUCGAAAGCGUGGGUAGCGAACAGGAUUAGAUACCCUUGUAGUC